UACGUAGGGGGCAAGCGUUGUCCGGAAUCAUUGGGCGUAAAGAGCGCGUAGGCGGUCCGGUAAGUCCGCUCUGAAAGUCCGGGGCUCAACCCCGGGAGGCGGGCGGAUACUGUCGGGCUAGAGUCCGGAAGAGGCGAGUGGAAUUCCUGGUGUAGCGGUGAAAUGCGCAGAUAUCAGGAGGAACACCAAUGGCGAAGGCAGCCCCCUGGGCUAACACUGACGCUCAGGCACGAAAGCGUGGGGAGCAAACAGG
rnacentral:rRNA from 1 species